UGGCAGUAUUUCCUGCUCCGCCCAUCCUUUUCCGCUUUGUCUCCUAAGCGGCCUUGGUGUGCAUAGCUUCUCUCGGGCCUGCAAACGGAUCUGCUGCUAAUCCCAGGUUGGGAAAAAAAAAUGGAGAGGUUCUGUUUGAGACCUCUGUAUCAAAGCCCUGCUGUAGUUGGUGGAAAGCACUGGUCUGGUGUAAACGUUGAAUGUCCCCUAUGCAUUGAUGUAAGGCUCAAUGUAGACAAAGUUCUACAGGCUCGUUUCUAUAAAGGUUUGAAGGGAAAUGAACGAGAGACCUUGAUUCCAUAGAAUUCUGAAGUGACUGACACCGUCACAUGACGGGCUGAGCGAAUCCACAAAAGGCCAAGGAUUUCAGAACUUGUAGUGGGACUUCGGUGCCCUCGGUGGUCAGUAGGAGAAAGGUGUGGCGAGUCUGCAAAUAUGAGAAAGCCGCCGUAGCCUUUUUUCCAUCCUGAUGUAGAAAAGCUGCAUAAGAAAUGGAAACUGAUCUCUCUCUGCUCCCCUAGUGACUUUUCAUCUAGCACACUCCUUCCUUUGGACUGAGGGUGUUCAAGCUGGACUUCAAGAUGCAAAUGGCAUCCUAUUACUAGUGGGAAGAAAGCCUUUAUAGAAGACACAGGAAUUCUGUCAUAACAUUUGAAAAUGAAGACAGUGGAUUCUGAAAAUCCCCCUUAAUUUUUGAAUGGCCAGCUAAAAUAAAUAAAAUCAUUGCCUGAAUAGAA